rnacentral:rRNA from 1 species
AUUGAACGCUGGCGGCAGGCCUAACACAUGCAAGUCGAACGAGUGGCGGACGGGUGAGUAAUGUCUGGGAAACUGGCCCUUGGAGGGGGAUAACUACUGGAAACGGUAGCUAAUUACGCAUACUCUCCGUGUUACCCAUCUGGGAUGAGCUUGUGGGCGGGGUAUUGGCUCACCAAGGCGGCGAUCCCUAGCGGGUCUGAGAGGAUGACCAGCCACACUGGAACGGAGACACGGUCCAGACUCCUACGGGAGGCAGCAGUGGGGAAUAUUGCACAAUGGGCGCAAGCCUGAUGCAGCAAUGCCGCGUGUAUGAAGAAGGCCUUCGGGUUGUAAAGUACUUUCAGCGGGGAGGCGUUACCCGCAGAAGAAGCACCGGCUAACUCCGUGCCAGCAGCCGCGGUAAUAC